CUAUAACCACCCUAACAGGUAUCAAUUACUAUCUGUGGACUCAGACAUUGAUAAUGAAGAUUAUUUUUGAGAAAUCAAUACACAGACAAAUGCACAAGCUCAAAUUCCCUACCCUACAAGAGUGAGGAAACAAAGUUUAAGUUUAGAGGAAGGAGAAGUGGGAGAAGAUCACAAAAGGGAAAGAUUAGAGAGACAGUAACACAUCUUACUGAAAAGGAAC